CUUAUGAUGUGACUCUUCUGCCCAUGACAGAGCCACCGAAUAUACAUCGACAUAUCUUUGGCCCAUUAUGGUUCAAGGAGUGAGAGCAGAGCCAAGUCUUGGAGAUGCUGAACUUGCUGUCACACUGGAAAACAAGAUGCAUGGGGUAGGGGGCAAGGAUGAGGGGGAAAAGGACCACUCAGAUCAUCCUUAAGACAGACAAGGGAAGGAGUUCCCGUGAUGCUGUCAUUCAGAUGCCCGCCUGGCUGAUCCCCCAGAGGGGACUUGGGCUCCUCUUAGCAUCGACAGGCUGGUAUAAACCCCUGGCUCAGAUCGAGCUAUGCCCGGUGCUGCCUUAAGCCUUAGGAGGUCGCCACGGAACCGCAGAGAUUGUCCAAGAAACCUGAACAACAGAAGGAUGUAAGAUAGACAAGAGAGAAAGAGAGAGAGAGAUCGAGAGUCCGGUCUUCCGGAAACCAAGGCUUAGCUCCCGCCUCCUGGGCCCUGAGCUAAGUCAGUGGAGGGUCCUUGUCAGGACCACUUCCUACCCAAACCAAGAUACAAAAGCACCUACCAGAAAACCAAGGCUCAACCCACUAGUGUCCUAGAGUAACAGGCUGAGUCAAAAGAGGGACGCCCUCAUCAGGGCCACUCCCCUCUUACCAGAAACGAAGUCAAAUCUGACUUACCUGACCCCGGGGUCAGAAGCUGAGGACUCAGAUGUUGAA
rnacentral:lncRNA from 1 species